GUUCCAGAGGGGAUGAAUGCCACAAAUUGCGCCCACUCAAACUUGUCUUUAAUGUUUGAUGAACUAGACUACCUGUUCCUGUAGAAUUUGAACUCUUUGUCUCAGCUGGGGUGGGCAAUACCAAUACAUACGUAUUGAGCCUUCUUGAAGAUGAUGGCUGCAUCUGUUUCACUCUUUCGGUUGGAUCAGAUUUCUUUUCAGGAAAAAGUGGGGCCGACUGGCUUCCUUUCCUAAUUUCUCCUCUGAAAGGAAAAAUUUUCCGGUAGCUGCUAUCAAGAUUUUCCUUUGUGACUUCUGAUGUUGCAACUUGGGGAAAUGUAACAUCCACCAUAUCCAACUCCAUUGAGUUUCUCGCUGUAGAAACAACAUCUUGCUCCUCGUCGUUAUGUCCAUAGUCAAAACUCAAUUCUACAUCACCAUAGGAAUCAUCAUCUUCGUCGUCGUCAUCAUCAUCGUCGUCGUCGUCAUCAUCGUCUCCAUCAUCAUCUUCAAGGCCACUGAAGUGAUAAUCUAUGUGUUGUUGUUCAGUGACCAACUUCACAUGUGGCUCAAGUUCUUCAAGAGAUUUAAGAGCCCUCUUGAAGAAACACAACUGAGCAGCAUGGUGUCGUGCUGCCUGAGUAAGAAGACUCCGAGAUUGUCCUUGCUUUAGGGAUUUCAGACGGAAAACAAAUAAGGUUGCCUCUUCAUCAUAUUCAUCAUAAGCCGUUUGUAACUGCUGCAUAGAAAAAGACUCUGCCUUCCCACUUCUUCCCCUUCCUUUUUCUCUUUGCCUCCUUAUCAUGUAUUCAUACACAUCUCUUUUCUCGUCACAUUGCCGCUUCAUCUCCUCAACAGUUCGAAGUUCAUUGAGAAGAGACUCUGAUGGGACUGUAAUUGUCUGGAAUAUGUGAGAACGAUAGCUAUCAACAAGUUUCUGGAGUUCAAACUGCACUUUUCCCAGCAUCAGCAAUACUUUACCACUUUCUUCAUCAUCAUUCAAUGCAGUUUUCUCGAGAAGACAAGCACCCAUCUCACGCAAUGAUUCUGAGAAUUCAAAAGCACUAUUAGCAGUGGCUG
rnacentral:misc_RNA from 1 species